AACGCACAUUGCGCCCGGUGGUACUCCACCGGGCACGCCCGUCCGAGCGUCGCACUUCUACCCCUCGGGCCACUGCGCCCGGCGUUGGGGGACCGCGCUCACCCCGCGCCCCCCGGAAGACAGUGGCGGCAAAGCACCGAUUGGCGUCCUCCGCGCAGUAACUACGCUCGUGGUUGGAACCUUCGGCGCCCGUCUAACACAGAUAAACUUCUAUUGUUGACCUCGGAUCGGGUGGGGAUACCCGCUAAACUUAA
rnacentral:misc_RNA from 1 species